GACGAACGCUGGCGGCGUGCCUAAUACAUGCAAGUUGAGCGCUGAAGGUUGGUACUUGUACCAACUGGAUGAGCAGCGAACGGGUGAGUAACGCGUGGGGAAUCUGCCUUUGAGCGGGGGACAACAUUUGGAAACGAAUGCUAAUACCGCAUAAAAACUUUAAACACAAGUUUUAAGUUUGAAAGAUGCAAUUGCAUCACUCAAAGAUGAUCCCGCGUUGUAUUAGCUAGUUGGUGAGGUAAAGGCUCACCAAGGCGAUGAUACAUAGCCGACCUGAGAGGGUGAUCGGCCACAUUGGGACUGAGACACGGCCCAAACUCCUACGGGAGGCAGCAGUAGGGAAUCUUCGGCAAUGGACGAAAGUCUGACCGAGCAACGCCGCGUGAGUGAAGAAGGUUUUCGGAUCGCAAAACUCUGUUGGUAGAGAAGAACGUUGGUGAGAGUGGAAAGCUCAUCAAGUGACGGUAACUACCCAGAAAGGGACGGCUAACUACGU
rnacentral:rRNA from 1 species